rnacentral:rRNA from 1 species
UACGGAGGGGGCUAGCGUUGUUCGGAAUUACUGGGCGUAAAGCGCGCGUAGGCGGCUUUGUAAGUCAGAGGUGAAAGCCCGGAGCUCAACUUCGGAAUAGCCUUUGAGACUGCAUCGCUUGAAUCCGGGAGAGGUGAGUGGAAUUCCGAGUGUAGAGGUGAAAUUCGUAGAUAUUCGGAAGAACACCAGUGGCGAAGGCGGCUCACUGGACUGGUAUUGACGCUGAGGUGCGAAAGCGUGGGGAGCAAACAGG